GAUGAACGCUGGCGGCGUGCCUAAUACAUGCAAGUCGAGCGAGGUUCUUCGGAACCUAGCGGCGGACGGGUGAGUAACACGUGGGUAACCUGCCUGUAAGACCGGGAUAACUUCGGGAAACCGAAGCUAAUACCGGAUAAUUUCGAGCAUCGCAUGAUGCUUGAUGGAAAGACGGUUUCGGCUGUCACUUACAGAUGGACCCGCGUCGCAUUAGCUAGUUGGUGAGGUAACGGCUCACCAAGGCGACGAUGCGUAGCCGACCUGAGAGGGUGAUCGGCCACACUGGGACUGAGACACGGCCCAGACUCCUACGGGAGGCAGCAGUAGGGAAUCUUCGGCAAUGGGCGAAAGCCUGACCGAGCAACGCCGCGUGAGCGAUGAAGGCCUUCGGGUCGUAAAGCUCUGUUGUUAAGGAAGAACAAGUACGAGAGUAACUGCUCGUACCUUGACGGUACUUAACGAGAAAGCCACGGCUAACUACGUGCCAGCCGCCGCCGUAAUAC
rnacentral:rRNA from 1 species